rnacentral:rRNA from 1 species
UGGCGGACGGGUGAGUAACGCGUGGGUAACCUGCCUCAUACAGGGGGAUAACAGUUGGAAACGACUGCUAAUACCGCAUAAGCGCACAGUACCGCAUGGUACAGUGUGAAAAACUCCGGUGGUAUGAGAUGGACCCGCGUCUGAUUAGCUAGUUGGUGGGGUAACGGCCUACCAAGGCGACGAUCAGUAGCCGACCUGAGAGGGUGACCGGCCACAUUGGGACUGAGACACGGCCCAA